GACCUCCAGGCGAGGCUGACAACUGAACGAUAUGUGCGCGCAGCACUGAAAAACCAACAGAUGUUCUCUGAAGAGAAACACAGCAAGGCGCCGAGUGAAAACGGCCGACAGCUGUUUUAUUGCAUUCGAGCAAUAAAUUCCUCACUCUCACCAAGGAGUAUCCACAGAUCAGAUAAAAGAAAAGAAUUGCAAGGGGCUGGCGUGGGAACUGGUUCCCCUGCAAGAUGCGUGAAGGUGCUGAGAAUGAAACCACAGCGGCUACUGCUCAACUUCCUCGAUUUCUCCUCGUCAAUUUCGGUGAGGCCCUUGUUGAAAUAACAGUUUCGUUUCGAUUCCUGCUUUGGGAAGUUACACCGACCAGCGAGAACCUCGGUGGAAAUCAGAGUUAGGCCACGAUCCCAUCGAUUGGCGGAACGCUCGUUCCAGGGGCUGAAUGGCCCACUCACGUUCCUCCGUGUUCCUCAAUGGAAUUCGCCUUUCUCUACCCGCUAAAGCCCAGCCUCUCUCCUCGUUCAACUUUUGCCGAAGACAACCACCCAAGGAGAGGUCAGCACACUUCGAGGGGACAUCUAAAACAUUGCGUGAGGAAUUAUUCUCCAGUCUGCCGAACACAGGAAAACAGACCAAAGGAUGCCCCCAAAACUCGAAUUUUCUUUUAACCAACCUGAUCAAGCAUCAAAUGACACACACUCUCUGAAGCAAGCGGGACUUGAACCUGAUCCCUGAUGUCCAGGAACAGAGGUGAGGACUGCAAAGCAGUUGGAGAGACAACCUCAAAAGCUCUAAAUUGGACUUCAUUAUGGGAGAGUCAAAGAAGCCCGGAGACGCCCAAGUGUUGAAGUUUCUGUCAUCAAGCAGUGUCAGAAAACAAGAGCCAAAUCUGUUUUCAAUAGAGUCAAUCACACACUGCAAGGCUACUUCCCUCCAACACUACUUCCAAGUUUAUUAUUUGCGAUAGAACUCACAAAUCAAAACUUGGCUUAUCACGUGUGCAUCAAUACAAAUCUUGCCUGAAAAUGUUGUCUCCUUGCCCAGGCCCCCAUCCAUCAAAACAAUAAGAGAAUACAUCGGUUUCAUUUGGAUAUCCUUCGUUGAAAGGACUGCAAGUGAGCAUUUGGCACUGGAGGUGAUGUAACGUUGACAGGAUUUGCAAAGAAACGUUUCAAAGCCUCCAGUCAUUAGUGCUGUGAAGAAAAAGUGGGGCAUAGUUUCCACAAAGAAAAUAUGUGGUCUUCUUUGUCAGGAUUACCAUACUUGAAGACUUCUGUAGGAUGCACAACCAGCCCAAAAGCCAGCAGUGCUGCACUUCAAGAAUGUCAAUUUGCAGGCGGCUGUCAAUCAAAACAAGAACAAUGGCGUGCAGUGCAGCAAACAAUUCACAAAGCAAAUGGGAUGUUAGCCUUUGUUGCAUAGGAAUGGAUGUAUAAAAGUCAGGAAAUUUUGCUACAAUGAUACAGGACAUUGAUGAGACCACACCUGGAGUACUCCAUAACUAUUUUCAUCUCUUCAUUUAAUGAGUGAUGUCCUUGCAUUGGAGGCAGUUCAGAGAAGAUUCAUUCAGUUGCUUCCUGUGAUUAAUAGGUUUUCAUAUGCAGAAGAAUUGAGCCUAUUUUUAUUGACCAGGUGGGUUGUGAAACUGAGAUAGUAGGAACUGCAGAUGCUGGAGAAUCUGAGAUAACAAGGUGUAGAACUGGAUGAA